rnacentral:tRNA from 1 species
GGGACAAAAGCAUCGAAUUAUCGGUAGUGACGUGCGGACUCAUAAUCCGUUGGUCCUAGGUUCAAAUCCUAGCGGGCCCACCA